rnacentral:ncRNA from 2 species
UAACCCAAGGAGCGUUGCAGCGAAGCAUUGAUUCGUCAGGCUUGGGUCACCGGCGUGUUCCCCGAAGCGCCUGCAGCAACGACGCUCACCUUGA